CAGCCGCCACGGGAAUACGUAGGUGGCAAGCGUUGUCCGGAAUUAUUGGGCGUAAAGGGCUCGCAGGCGGUUUCUUAAGUCUGAUGUGAAAGCCCCCGGCUCAACCGGGGAGGGUCACUGGAAACUGGGAAACUUGAGUGCAGAAGAGGAGAGUGGAAUUCCACGUGUAGCGGUGAAAUGCGUAGAGAUGUGGAGGAACACCAGUGGCGAAGGCGACUCUCUGGUCUGUAACUGACGCUGAGGAGCGAAAGCGUGGGGAGCGAACAGGAUUAGAUACCCGGGUAGUCCCUGUCUCUUAUAC
rnacentral:rRNA from 1 species